rnacentral:lncRNA from 1 species
GCCUCACGCAGUGCCACAUUAUCCAGGAAGGGCUGCUGGCUGUCUGGCACCUUUUUCCUGAAAGGCAGCCUUUGCAACUAUUUUCCAGAACCCAGGGCCUUCUCGCAAUCAUCUUAGUUCAUUCUAAGGUCAUUUGCUCUUUGCAUCUAACUAAAUGGCACACUGGAAGACAGAAAAAAAAUAAGGGAUUUUUAUACAGCAGAUGAAAAGGAAAAAAGAAAACUUGAUGGAAAGUGUGAGCCUCCAUGCUGACUAACUCCCUUGGGGCUCAUCGACUUGUUAAUGAAGGACC